UGCAAGUCGACGGACUGAUUCACUUCGGUGAUGAAAGUUAGUGGCGAACGGGUGAGUAAUGUAUGAACAAUCUGCCUAUGACAACGGGAUAACACUUAGAAAUAGGUGCUAAUACCGUAUAAGACCACGCUACCGCAUGGUAAAGUGGUAAAAGGUCCGCCGGUCAUAGAUGAGUUCAUAUCCCAUUAGCUAGUUGGUGAGAUAACAGCCCACCAAGGCAACGAUGGGUAGCCGACUUGAGAGAGUGAUCGGCCACAUUGGGACUGAAACACGGCCCAGACUCCUACGGGAGGCAGCAGUGGGGAAUAUUGGGCAAUGGGCGAAAGCCUGACCCAGCAAUGCCGCGUGAGCGAUGAAGGUAAUAUUAUUGUAAAGCUCUUUUCUUAGGGAAGAUAAUGACUGUACCUAAGGAAUAAGCCCCGGCUAACUACGUGCCAGCAGCCGCGGUAAUACGUAGGGGGCGAGCGUUGUCCGGAAUUACUGGGCGUAAAGGGAGUGUAGGCGGUUUGAUAAGUUGGAAGUGUAAUACCCAGGGCUCAACUCGGGUGCUGCUUCCAAAACUGUCAGACUUGAGUGCAGAAGAGGAGAGUGGAAUUCCUAGUGUAGCGGUGGAAUGCGUAGAUAUUAGGAAGAACAUCAGUGGCGAAGGCGACUCUCUGGUCUGUAACUGACGCUGAGGCUCGAAAGCGUGGGUAGCAAACAGGAUUAGAUACCCUGGUAGUCCACGCUGUAAACGAUGGAUACUAGAUGCAGGAGGUAUUGACUCCUUCUGUGUCGUAGCUAACGCGAUAAGUAUCCCGCCUGGGGAGUACGACCGCAAGGUUGAAACUCAAAGGAAUUGA
rnacentral:rRNA from 1 species